CAGAGGGAGGAUUCCUUCUGGGCUCCCAGUGGCUUCUGAGGGAGCCCUAGUGUCACUCAUCAACCGUCUGCAGUGACAGGCAGGUGCCUGCCCACAGCGAGCUCCCCAACAGGUGCCAGCAGGGUGUGGGAAAAGGCCACGCCCUCGGUUCACAGCAGCCUGGCCACCUGUGGACCUCCAGCACUCUUGAGGGUCUGCGGCAGAUCUCUGGGGCUCAGCGGGCACCUUUGUCCUCUGGCCACC
rnacentral:lncRNA from 1 species